CUUGGUCAUUUAGAGGAAGUAAAAGUCGUAACAAGGUUUCCGUAGGUGAACCUGCGGAAGGAUCAUUAAUGAAACAAACCGGGGGCGGUGGGGCGCGGCCUCGCACCGGCGAAAACACCAAUGUGCGGGCUCGCCCCGCCCCCUCCCCCACAACCCCCCCUCCAGUACACCAUAGGGACGGCGGUUGGAUUUUGAAUGGGACUCGCUUUAACUAGCUCAAAACUCUCUUUUGAGUGUCAUUUAUUCGGGCUCGCCCCGAUGUAGCUUAAGCAUAAAAACUUUCAACAAAACAUCUCUUGUGUCUCUCAUUUAUGAGAAAAGUAGCGAAAUGUGAUAAGUAAUGUGAAUUGCAUAAUUCAUUGAAUCAUCAUAUCAUUGAACGCACCUUGCGCCCAUUGAAAUUCCGAUGGGCCUGCUUGUUUGAGUGUCUUGAAAUCAUCAAGCCCGUUCAGUGUCUUUUUCAACUUUCGGAGGAGGAUGUUGCUUGCCGCUUCAUCACGCCUCCCAUUCAAUGCAUCUGCACACUCUCUGCGGCAUUCACCCGGUGAUACAUGUAUACCCUCUCCGUCUGGUAACUCCGCGUGAAGUCCGCCUCGUUUUAGGGCCUUGAAAAAACCUCCACCAGCUGAAGAUUAUACGGAGAUGGUCAAAUUAGCUCUGACUCGUUGCGACUUUACUAUUGUACUUAACUGAACCUAUCAGCAAACGAAAAAACGGCGUAUUCCUUUCACCCUGCACGACUCCUCCUGAUAGAGAGGGUAACUCUGAGAGUGCCGGGUGCUGGUGUACUCGUUUCUGGGGGCAAAUUGUUAUCCGCUCACAAUCCACAGCACAACCGGGCAGAUGCAUAGGUUGAUGGG
rnacentral:rRNA from 1 species